UGAGGAAUAUUGGUCAAUGGGCGCAGGCCUGAACCAGCCAAGUAGCGUGAAGGAUGACUGCCCUAUGGGUUGUAAACUUCUUUUAUAUGGGAAUAAAGUUUUCCACGUGUGGAAUUUUGUAUGUACCAUAUGAAUAAGGAUCGGCUAACUCCGUGCCAGCAGCCGCGGUAAUACGGAGGAUCCGAGCGUUAUCCGGAUUUAUUGGGUUUAAAGGGAGCGUAGGUGGACAGUUAAGUCAGUUGUGAAAGUUUGCGGCUCAACCGUAAAAUUGCAGUUGAUACUGGCUGUCUUGAGUACAGUAGAGGUGGGCGGAAUUCGUGGUGUAGCGGUGAAAUGCUUAGAUAUCACGAAGAACUCCGAGUGCGAAGGCAGCUCACUGGACUGCAACUGACACUGAUGCUCGAAAGUGUGGGUAUCAAACAGG
rnacentral:rRNA from 1 species